rnacentral:rRNA from 1 species
CCUACGGGAGGCAGCAGUGAGGAAUAUUGGUCAAUGGGCGGAAGCCUGAACCAGCCAAGUCGCGUGAGGGAUUAAGGCCCUGCGGGUCGUAAACCUCUUUUGCCGGGGAGCAGUGGUCCGGACGCGUCCGGACCGGGAGAGUACCCGGAGAAAAAGCAUCGGCUAACUCCGUGCCAGCAGCCGCGGUAAUACGGAGGAUGCGAGCGUUAUCCGGAUUUAUUGGGUUUAAAGGGUGCGUAGGCGGAAUGCCAAGUCAGCGGUAAAAUCGCGGGGCUCAACCUCGCUCCGCCGUUGAAACUGGCGUUCUUGAGUGGGCGAGAAGUAUGCGGAAUGCGUGGUGUAGCGGUGAAAUGCGUAGAUAUUAGGAGGAACACCAGUGGCGAAGGCGGCUUGCUGGACGAUGACUGACGUUGAGGCUCGAAAGCGUGGGGAGCAAACAGGAUUAGAUACCCGAGUAGUC